rnacentral:rRNA from 1 species
UGCAGUCGACGAGAACGGAUUACAGCUUGCUGCAAUUGUCAGCUAAGUGGCGCACGGGUGAGUAAUAUAUAGUUAACCUGCCUCAAAGAAGAGAAUAAUUGUUGGAAACGACUUGUAAUGCUCUAUAUGCCUUUAUCACAUAAGUGAGCAAGGGAAAUAUUUAUAGCUUUGAGAUGGGACUGUACGGUAUCAGUUAGUUGGUGAGGUAAUGGCUCACCAAGACUAUGACGCCUAACUGGUUUGAGAGGAUGAUCAGUCACACUGGAACUGAGACACGGUCCAGACUCCUACGGGAGGCAGCAGUGGGGAAUAUUGCACAAUGGAGGAAACUCUGAUGCAGCAACGCCGCGUGGAGGAUGACACAUUUCGGUGCGUAAACUCCUUUUAUAUGAGAAGAUAAUGACGGUAUCAUAUGAAUAAGCACCGGCUAACUCCGUGCCAGCAGCCGCGGUAAUACGGGGGGUGCAAGCGUUACUCGGAAUCACUGGGCGUAAAGAGCAUGUAGGCUGGUUUGUAAGUUGGAAGUGAAAUCCUAUGGCUUAACCAUAGAACUGCUUCCAAAACUGCAGACCUAGAAUAUGGGAGAGGUAGAUGGAAUUUCUGGUGUAGGGGUAAAAUCCGUAGAGAUCAGAAGGAAUACCGAUUGCGAAGGCGAUCUACUGGAACAUUAUUGACGCUGAGAUGCGAAAGCG